AUGGAGUUAUCAAGUGUAACAGCAACUCCAUAUGGACUGUGGACCAAUUUCCAGUGGAGAUGCUGUUACUUUUGAUGGUGACCAA
ensembl:miRNA MIR194-1 microRNA 194-1